UACGUAGGGGGCGAGCGUUAUCCGGAUUCAUUGGGCGUAAAGCGCGCGUAGGCGGCCGCCUAAGCGGAACCUCUAACCCCGGGGCUUAACCUCGGGCCGGGUUCCGGACUGGGCGGCUCGAGUGCGGUAGAGGAGAGCGGAAUUCCCGGUGUAGCGGUGGAAUGCGCAGAUAUCGGGAAGAACACCGAUGGCGAAGGCAGCUCUCUGGGCCGUCACUGACGCUGAGGCGCGAAAGCUGGGGGAGCGAACAGG
rnacentral:rRNA from 1 species